GAGGAGUUAGUCUAAAAAGACAGCUGAUUUCGACUCAGCAGAUUAUGGCCAAACCCCAUAACUCCUCU
rnacentral:tRNA from 1 species